CUCUUAGCUCAGAAUUCAUCUCCUCCGUUAAAAGUUUUGUCACAACAAUCAACACCGCUUUGAUUCGGGAGAUGCAAAGAUCAGUACACUACACCUGCAAAAAUCUUCAUAUCGCCGAAACCAGGUACUUGAAAAUGGAGCUGACCCUGGUACAGGCUUAGGCCUUGCUUUCAUGCGCACCCAAUCAUUGUCUUUGCAUACCAAGCAUUCAAACGAAUCCUUCUUAGACUGAGGAAUCUCUGGACGGAAGUUCUACGAGAGCGGCAUUUUUCAUUUUGAUCUGCGUUUUUCUCCAAUCAAGAAACAGCAGCAAAAUGUUAAAGGCCGUCUCCUUCAGCAACAAAAGACGAAGUAUAGCUCCAAACACCAAUUACUAUCUCCCUUCGCACUACAUCAAAACAUGACAAAAUACGAGGCUUUCAUGCCAAUGCCAUCAUUGGUGCAUCACCGAAAUACAAAUCUGCAUUCUUUAGUACAAAGUAUGGAAACAUAUAUAUUUUUCCACGUAUAUUGAAAUGGUCAUGUCAACGCUAUGCACUGUAUCUAAAUAUGCUAAUAGGUCUCGUCAAGGAAGUUAUAGUUCAAGAUGCCACAGAAAGUACUUGGUGGGAGGGAGGAAAUAAUAAAAGACACCCAUGUGAUACCAAACGAACAAAUAUUUAACGUAACUGUGAAAUUCCGAUUCUUGCAAGUGUCACAAGGAUGAAAUACACAGCUGAGAAUAAAUAGCAGCCAUACUGAGGGGAUGAUGGUCAUUCCCAUACAUUUUAAAUGCCAUUCCACUAUACAAGAAUACACGCAACUUUCAUUGCUUCAAAUUGGUAUCUAUAUA